AUCGAACGCUGGCGGCAUGCUUAACACAUGCAAGUCGAGCGAGCGGCGGACGGGUGAGUAAUGUCUGGGAAACUGCCUGAUGGAGGGGGAUAACUACUGGAAACGGUAGCUAAUACCGCAUACUAUCAGAUGUGCCCAGUUCGGAUUAUUUAGUGGGUGGGGUAAUGGCUCACCUAGGCGACGAUCCCUAGCUGGUCUGAGAGGAUGACGGGCCACACUGGAGCUGGGAAACGGUCCAGACUCCAACGGGAGGCGGAAGGGGGGAAUAUUGGACAAUGGGCGCAAGCCUGAUGAGGACAUGCCGCGUGUAUGAAGAAGGCCUUAGGGUUGUAAGGUACGUUCAGCGGGGAGGCGGUACCCGAAGAAGAAGCACCGGCUAACUCCGUGCCAGCAGCCGCGGUAAUAC
rnacentral:rRNA from 1 species